rnacentral:lncRNA from 1 species
AUUUUUCUUUAAAAAAUCAUCCGUAUAUUUAGAAAAUCUAACAAUUAGGUAUAUUAAACAAACUUGUCUAUUCUUUAAGUUGUAAUUAUUCUUUAAGUUGUAAUUAAAAGAAAAACCUAUUAACUAGGUUAAGAACUUAAACUUCUACCUUUAAGUUAGGUUACAAACAGAUGGAAUGAUGGGUUUUGGUCUAGGGUUUUGGGUUAGAGGUUAGGGUUUAGUGGUUAUGGGUUUAGGGUUUAGGGUUUAGGGGUUAGGGUUUAGAAAAGCAACAAGAAACCCAAAACGGUCUUUGACAAAACAAUUGAAAUAAUAUUUCGUUAAUAAAAUCUAUGUGUCAAUUGAAAUGAUUCUUCUGUAACAUUAAAAAAAAUUCUCCUUUUAAGAAUUAUCAUAAUUCUAGCAAUAAUGAUGAGUUAAAGGAUAUAUGUUUUAAUCACAAAAUAUAUAUUAUUAAGGCUUUUUGAAAGAGAAUUAAAUUCGAAUUAUUGACUAGUUAGAUAUAAAUAAUGGCAAUAUGUAAUUUCUGCUAAAAAUGAAAGUCAAUAUAUUAUGACAUAAUGCCUAUUUGGUACUAAUUAUUGGGUCUUGUUGCCCACCCAAAUGAAAAACUUUUUCCUAUGCCCAUUUCAAUUAAACUUAAUAGAAUUACUUUUCUACCCAUAACCUAUCUAUCUCUCUCCUCUCCUCCCCCUCUCAUUCCGGAUCUCUCUUUCAUUUCUCUCUCUCUCUCUCCUCCCUCUUUGGCCGAUGCCGUGUCCUCUCUCGUCGCCACCAAACCGCAAGACAUCGCCAACUUUGUGAGCAGAACUUCUUUCUCAAGCGAAUCAAAUAUGAAGAAGCAUGGCGACGGCCGUCCGUCGUCAAUCAUCGAUCGCUCUCUCUCCACCAUUGCUCGCGGCAACGAGUUGUCGUCGGCGGCAAGCCACAAGGCGAAGAUCAGAUCUCCGAUCUCUGACCUCUGAUCUCCAAUCUCGGACCUCCACUUC